ACGUAGGGUGCGAGCGUUAAUCGGAAUUACUGGGCGUAAAGCGUGCGCAGGCGGUUGUGCAAGACGGAUGUGAAAUCCCCGGGCUUAACCUGGGAAUUGCAUUUGUGACUGCACGGCUAGAGUGUGUCAGAGGGAGGUAGAAUUCCACGUGUAGCAGUGAAAUGCGUAGAUAUGUGGAGGAACACCGAUGGCGAAGGCAGCCCCCUGGGCUGAGAUUGACGCUCAGGCACGAAAGCGUGGGGAGCAAACAGGA
rnacentral:rRNA from 1 species